UGCCCCCAUUAAAACGGAUUU
rnacentral:piRNA from 1 species